CCUACGGGUGUCAGCAGUGAGGAAUAUUGGUCAAUGGACGCGAGUCUGAACCAGCCAAGUAGCGUGAAGGAUGACUGCCCUACGGGUUGUAAACUUCUUUUAUAUGGGAAUAAAGUGAUGCACGUGUGCCUUUUUGUAUGUACUUUAUGACUAAGGAUCGGCUAACUCCGUUCCAGCAGCCGCGGUAAUACGGAGGAUCCUAGAGUUAUCCGGAUUUAUUGGGUUUAAAGGGAGCGUAGAUGGGUUGUUAAGUCAGUUGUGAAAGUUUGCGGCUCAACCGUAAAAUUGCAGUUGAUACUGGCAGUCGUGAGUACAGUAGAGGUAGGCGGAAUUCGUGGUGUAGCGGUGAAAUGCUUAGAUAUCACGAAGAACUCCGAUUGCGAAGGCAGCUUACUAAACUGCCACUGACACUGAGGCUCGAAAGUGUGGGUAUCAAACAGGAUUAGAUACCCGAGUAGUC
rnacentral:rRNA from 1 species